CCUACGGGCGGCAGCAGUGAGGAAUAUUGGUCAAUGGACGAGAGUCUGAACCAGCCAAGUAGCGUGAAGGAUGACUGCCCUAUGGGUUGUAAACUUCUUUUAUAUGGGAAUAAAAUGUUCCACGUGUGGGAUUUUGUAUGUACCAUAUGAAUAAGGAUCGGCUAACUCCGUGCCAGCAGCCGCGGUAAUACGGAGGAUCCGAGCGUUAUCCGGAUUUAUUGGGUUUAAAGGGAGCGUAGGUGGAUUGUUAAGUCAGUUGUGAAAGUUUGCGGCUCAACCGUAAAAUUGCAGUUGAAACUGGCAGUCUUGAGUACAGUAGAGUUGGGCGGAAUUCGUGGUGUAGCGGUGAAAUGCUUAGAUAUCACGAAGAACUCCGAUUGCGAAGGCAGUUCACUGGACUGCAACUGACACUGAGGCUCGAAAGUGUGGGUAUCAAACAGGAUUAGAUACCCCAGUAGUC
rnacentral:rRNA from 1 species